rnacentral:rRNA from 1 species
UACGGAAGGCAGCAGUGGGGAAUAUUGCACAAUGGGCGCAAGCCUGAUGCAGCCAUGCCGCGUGUAUGAAAAAGGCCUUCGGGUUGUAAAGUACUUUCAGUCGUGAGGAAGGUGUUAAGGUUAAUAACCUUAGCAAUUGACGUUAGCGACAGAAGAAGCACCGGCUAACUCCGUGCCAGCAGCCGCGGUAAUACGGAGGGUGCGAGCGUUAAUCGGAAUUACUGGGCGUAAAGGGCACGCAGGCGGUUAAUUAAGUUGGAUGUGAAAUCCCCGGGCUUAACCUGGGAAUGGCAUUCAAGACUGGUUAGCUAGAGUCUUGUAGAGGGGGUAGAAUUCCAUGUGUAGCGGUGAAAUGCGUAGAGAUGUGGAGGAAUACCGGUGGCGAAGGCGGCCCCUGGGACAAAGGACUGACGCUCAUGUGCGAAAGCGUGGGGAGCAAACAGGGAUUAGAU